CGCGUAGGCGGCCUCUCAAGCGGGAUCUCUAAUCCGAGGGCUCAACCCCCGGCCCGGAUCCCGAACUGGGAGGCUCGAGUUCGGUAGAGGCAGGCGGAAUUCCCGGUGUAGCGGUGGAAUGCGCAGAUAUCGGGAAGAACACCGAUGGCGAAGGCAGCCUGCUGGGCCGCAACUGACGCUGAGGCGCGAAAGCUAGGGGAGCGAACA
rnacentral:rRNA from 1 species